CCCUUAGAUGUUCUGGGCUGCACGCGUGCUACACUGAUAUUGCCAAUAUGUCAUUCUUAUCCGAAAUGGAUUGGGUAAUCAAGUAAUGAAAUUUCAUACUUGGAAUCGGUAAUUGCAAUUUUAUCGUGAACGAGGAAUUCCUAGUAAGCACUAGUCAUCAGCUAAUGUCGAUUACGUCCCUGCCCUUUGUACACACCGCCCGUCGCUCCUACCGAUUGGGUGAUCCGGUGAAUGAUUCGGACCGGCGUAGUGCUAGCUACUAGUGCUGUACUGGAAAGUUUUGUGAACCUUAUCACCUGGAGGAAGGAGAAGUCGUAACA
rnacentral:rRNA from 1 species